rnacentral:rRNA from 1 species
UACGUAGGGACCAAGCGUUGUUCGGAUUUACUGGGCGUAAAGGGCGCGUAGGCGGCUUAACAAGUCACUUGUGAAAUCUCCGGGCUUAACUCGGAACGGCCAAGUGAAACUGUCAAGCUAGAGUGCGGAAGGGGCAACUGGAAUUCUCGGUGUAGCGGUGAAAUGCGUAGAUAUCGAGAGGAACACCUGCGGCGAAGGCGGGUUGCUGGGCCGACACUGACGCUGAUGCGCGAAAGCCAGGGGAGCGAACGGG